rnacentral:lncRNA from 1 species
UUCAAAACUGACAUUAUUUGCUUGUGGCUAUUUCACAAAUUGACAAUGUAAAAAAACUUGUGUAUAUAAACUUAGAACAGUAAAUGACUUUUUUCCUUUCUUGUAAGAAAGAGACUAAAUUAUAAAUGUUAAAUGAAACCAUUAUUAAACACACUAAUACAGUUUCAAACAAAUACAUCUGCUGAUCAGCAAAUAGAUUUUUACCCUUGUGUCCGGUAGGCCAAAAUGCAUGGGUUGUAAUAUUUGAUUAAGGGAGUUAACUCUUCCUAAAACCAUUACAUUAUAACCUACCCCCACAAUGGCAAGAAUCCUUCAGUGAUCACAUGACAUAUCACAUGACACAAAGAUAUCACAGUCUAUGAGUAGAGUUAGUUAAACCUGAGGUGACUGAUAAUACAUAACAUGUGCCAGACUGAUGAAUUAUUAACUGUGUAUAUAUAAUACAAUAUAUGCAAAUGAGAUGGUAACAUCUUGCAAGUAUUUAUAAACAUUUAAAUAAAAAAACAUUUACAAGGCACAAUAAAGAUUAACAAGAAGAAACAUCACAAAAUUUAAGGCAACAAAAAUUCACACAUGAUUCAAAGUCCCAAAUAUGUGAUAUUGAAAAUUUGCUGAGGCUGAAAUAAAAUGGUUGUAAAGGUUAAGAGUUUUAUUUGAAUAAACUAAAUUUAAGUGGACACAAGUUUGAAAUAAUUUAACAUACCAAGAGUGUGUUUUGUUUAUUUUCAUUCAAUAUAACAAUAUUUUGAAUGUUCAUCCAAGUUUAUAAAAUAUACAAGUGAUUCUCGAAUACAUUAUUUACGAUUAAGGACUAUUUUUAAAAAGGAAAAAAAUGAAUUUGAGGUUGGACAGCACUUCUUUGUUCAAUUUCAACUACUACCAUUACCCAUUAAAGAUAUUCUGUGGUGUCCAAACCUCCCAUACAUUUUUUUCCUGUAAUAGCCCCAAGUAUAAAAACUGAUAUGUUUUAUGUAAUAAAUAGAAUAUACAUUAGUAUAUAAAUAACAACAAAAUGGACGGCAAAAGUAUCACAGUUAUAGGUAUAACAACAGAGCAUAUAGACUAAAGAUAACAUAUCAACAUUUUAUACACAUAUAAACAGCUGUGCCAGGGGAGCAUGAUAUGGCAGUUCUCUUAAUAUAUAU